rnacentral:rRNA from 1 species
UACGUAGGUCCCGAGCGUUGUCCGGAUGUAUUGGGCGUAAAGCGAGCGCAGGUGGUUUAAUAAGUCUGAUGUAAAAGGCAGUGGCUCAACCAUUGUGUGCAUUGGAAACUGUUAGACUUGAGUGCAGUAGAGGAGAGUGGAAUUCCAUGUGUAGCGGUGAAAUGCGUAGAUAUAUGGAGGAACACCGGUGGCGAAAGCGGCUCUCUGGACUGUAACUGACACUGAGGCUCGAAAGCGUGGGUAGCAAACAGG